rnacentral:rRNA from 1 species
CUCUGUGGAUCAGUGGCGAACGGGUGAGUAACACGUGAGCAACCUGCCCCUGACUCUGGGAUAAGCGCUGGAAACGGCGUCUAAUACUGGAUAUGAGCUGCGAUCGCAUGGUCAGCAGUUGGAAAGAUUUUUCGGUCUGGGAUGGGCUCACGGCCUAUCAGCUUGUUGGUGAGGUAAUGGCUCACCAAGGCGUCGACGGGUAGCCGGCCUGAGAGGGUGACCGGCCACACUGGGACUGAGACACGGCCCAGACUCCUACGGGAGGCAGCAGUGGGGAAUAUUGCACAAUGGGCGAAAGCCUGAUGCAGCAACGCCGCGUGAGGGAUGACGGCCUUCGGGUUGUAAACCUCUUUUAGCAGGGAAGAAGCGAAAGUGACGGUACCUGCAGAAAAAGCGCCGGCUAACUACGUGCCAGCAGCCGCGGUAAUACGUAGGGCGCAAGCGUUAUCCGGAAUUAUUGGGCGUAAAGAGCUCGUAGGCGGUUUGUCGCGUCUGCUGUGAAAUCCCGAGGCUCAACCUCGGGUCUGCAGUGGGUACGGGCAGACUAGAGUGCGGUAGGGGAGAUUGGAAUUCCUGGUGUAGCGGUGGAAUGCGCAGAUAUCAGGAGGAACACCGAUGGCGAAGGCAGAUCUCUGGGCCGUUACUGACGCUGAGGAGCGAAAGGGUGGGGAGCAAACAGGCUUAGAUACC